rnacentral:tRNA from 2 species
GCGGGUAUAGAAAAACGGUAAAUUUCAUUAGUCUUCCAAACUGAAAGUAUGGGUUCAAAUCCCAUUAUCCGCU